CAAAGAAUUUGGUUUGACGUUUAAAAAGAAUGAAUAUACUGACCAUAUAUAAAUCACACUUUAUCACUACAUUCUUAAAAUAAAUCUACAAAAUUCAGAAAGAUGGUAGCAUGUGGCUUUGAAAGUUUCUUCUAGCUCAUUCGGAGCUAAGUGCUAGCGAUAUGAGGGAAAUUGUCCAGAGUGAAAGUUGUGGAAAAUGUGAGAUGGAAAAGUAAGGGGGGGGUCACUAGCUUUCUAGAAUUCUUGUAUCCUCAGACUGAAACCCUAGAAAGUUUCCUAAGUUGAUUGUAAAAAAAAAAAAUUGUCUUCAACUAGAUGUUAGUUCAACACCUGACAUCUACCACACCACACUGCUACAUUAUCCAAUGAUUUCAUAAAAGGAUUAGUCAUCAAAUAUGCACAGUUGCACUGUCUAUGUGUAACAGUGACUGGUCCCAGCAUAUGUGUGAUCAUGUAUUUCCUAUGUCCCAAAGCCAGAAGAUCCCAGCAUGAUAGCUGCAGUCAUGAACUACCACAGUGAAAUCAAAAACACCCAACAAGUUCAAGAAAAAAGAAAGCGAUAUUAUGAAUAAUAUUGCUAAGACGAUUCAUGUGCAGAUUUUUAUGUGGAUACGUGCUUUCAUUUCUCUCGGAUAUAUGCCUGGGAGUAGAACUGCUCGGUCAUGUGCAACUCUGGAGUAGAAAUUCUGGUUUGCAAGUAAGAAUGCUUCUGUAUCAAGGAACACAAGAAUGUCCUACUGAAUUAGAAACCGAAACUGCUAGUGGACCAUUUUGUGCUUCUCAUAUUACUGAACCAACAAGCAAAAAGAGAUAGAGAUUGAUUAACUGACUGACUGAUUACUGUCUAAAGUGACCAAUUCUGUUCCCAAAGAAGAGUUAGACUGCUGCUACAGAAAGCAUUAGGAAGGAAUACUUCUGGAACCUAGAGUAUUCUCUGAGGUACCUCUGUCUCUUAGUAUUUCCAUGUCCAACAGUAAAAGUUAAUGGAAAACUAUAUAAACAAAAAAACUGUAAAACCACUGCGGAUCAAACCUAACCAGAAUAAAGGUUUUAUGUCACCCCACCAAGUAAAAAGCCUGGAUCAUCUCAGAACAAAGGAAAAAUGAAAUGGACAGAAAGAAAGCUUCAGCCAUGGUCUCAUGACCACUGUCAGGACUGCUGAUGUUGACUAACUUAACAAUUCAGUCAUUAAGUCAUAGGUAUUUGUAUAGAACUGUGACUGUCUACGGCCAUAGCAUCCUGAAUGCGCCUGAUCCCGUCUGUACAGAACUGUGACUGAAUUUGAGAAGUGAUUACCAUUGCCCAGAGACAGAUAUCACGACUAUCUCCCAGAAAUGGGUAAAUGAUUAAUUGAGACCCCUGUCUGUACACUUUGAAUAGCAAGAGAAUAUAUGCCUCUCAAGUGAAAGAAAUUUUUUGCUGUUCUAUGGAAAUUCAAGUGUGAAUAGCAAGAGAAUAUAUGCCUCUCAAGUGAAAGAAAUUUUUUGCUGUUCUAUGGAAAUUCAAGUGUGUGUAGAAUUGAAUGGAUAAGUAACUAAAGAAAUGCACUGUGCUAAUAUUAAGCUAUUGUCACCUGGCUUCAAACUCACUCUCUAUGCUCCAAUUUGUUAUUCUAGAACUCCUGGUGGGUGAGCGAGGGUACUAAAAGACUAAAGAAAAAAGAAAGAAUGUACACUCUCCUGUUUGCACAAGUUUUCUACCCUGGAGAUACAACUGAUUCUAGUGGUACCAGUUGGCUCCACUAGUUUUUCCCACAGUCUUAGAACCAGCUUGACUUGAACCCUCUGAAAAAUCAGCACCUCCUAGCCAGUACUGUACCCUUCCUCAGAUGUCAAAAUUCAGAGUCAUAAUCCUCCAAGAUCUCGAGGCAACACCACCACCGGCUGGCAGUAAACUUCUAAUGAGCUCUAUAGGGCCCCCUCCAAACUUUUAUAUUUUAGUAAUUCACCAUCAUUCCUUUGUUCCUUGCAUGGUAGGUCCUUCCUGAAGUUACUAUCUCUUCAACACUUCUUUGCCUUUUCAGUUCUUUAGUAACUGAUUAUAGUUCUUCAUAUUAAAUUAAUUCUGUUAAAGUAAUUGUUGUGGUUUUUGUUUUUUUCCUAUGACCAAAAUGAUGUAUCUAUUAAUAUCACAUAACUAUGUGUGAAUAUAAAAUCAAACAACAAAGCUGGACAGUAGGUCUGAGUUCAGUUCCAAACCUCUAAGAAAAUCUUAUAUCUCAACAGACUGGACCUAUUUGUAAAAGACACUAUUUG
rnacentral:lncRNA from 1 species